GCCUAGCCGUAAGCUUUAAUUUACCCCCCCCCCCUCGCCCAGGAACUACGAGCAAAGCUUAAAACCCAAGGGACUUGACGGUACCCCAAAUACACCUAGAGGAGCCUGUCCUAUAAUCGAUAACCCCCGUUUUACCUCACCCCUUCUUGUUUUCAGCCUGUAUACCUCCGUCGUCAGCUUACCACGUGAGCGCCAAUUAGUGAGCUUAAUGCCCCUACGCCAACACGUCAGGUCAAGGUGCAGCAUAUGAAGCGGAAAGAGAUGGGCUACACUGUCUACUUUAGACCACACGAAAGACUAUAUAUGAAACCUAGUCGGAAGGCGGAUUUAGAAGUAAAAGAAAAGUAGCGUGCUUUAUUUAACUUAGGCCCUGGGGUGUGUACACACCGCCCGUCACCCUCUUCGAAGAUUCAACGUAAGUUCUUGACACAAUUGAGCUUCCCAGAAGAGGCAAGUCGUAACAUGGUAAGUAUACCGGAAGGUGUGCUUGGAAA
rnacentral:rRNA from 1 species